CAAGGGUCCCUCUUGGGGGGCUUUAGGGGUCUCGGAGCUGCAGUGUCAGGGCAGACAGGGGCCGGUUCUCUUCCCGAGUUCCUCUGCACAGACUCUCGAGGCGCACUACACCCGCCGGGGCAUUUCCCAUCGUCUCUCCUUACUUGGUUAUCACGGUGAAACCGUGUCGGCCACCGCAACCAUGCUGGGGCUCGCCCUCAAUAAAACGCCGCGCGGUUAAACGAUGCAUUAGAGAAACGUGUGCGCACGUGUGUGCAUUCUCGCUUGUCUCUUUUACACCCACACACUUGAUUCUAUUCCUCUCCAUCCUCCCCUCAAUUUGACUCUCCCCUCUUCCCCGCAGUUCCCAUCAGGUAUGUUCUAGAACAGACACAGGUUGCCACCAGCUGUCCCGAACAUCAGUUACAAAUCUCCGCAAGGGACGAAAACAUCUGCUCGGGUAGAAGCUGGAAGCCGCGGCGGCGGGUGUCGCGCGGCGGGGACGCCCCACGCCCGGCGCAGCGCCAGGGGAGAGGGCCCCUGCGGCUCGCAGAGGAUCCUCGAACGGCAGGCAGCACGCGCAUGCACGUGGUGGAAAAUUCAAGCAGGACAAAAGGAUGCGCAUGCACGCAGGGCCUUUACGAAAGAGGGUGUCAUGGACAUCAACACCUCCGAAAAGGCCGGAGGCUCGAAGUUACGUUGCCCGUCCCGACCUCAGAACCAGCGCCCGGACGGACGGGCAUCCUCGGAGUUAAGAGUGGGAGAGCGCCCAGAGCUCCUUCGAAUCUGGCCUCCAUCUUUCGCUUGGAGGAUUUCCUCAUUCAUCAGGGAGAAAAGGCCGUGUACCGUGUGUGGGUGAAACUAUGCUCUCUGCUCCCCCUCCCCCUCUCCGUCCCCCUCCGUCCCCCUUGCCCCCGACCUCCACCCCUGCAAGGACGUGAUUCGGUCCUAAAGAGACCAGGAGCCCCCGCGCCCCUCCCCCGCCCCAUCGCAGGACUUUCUGGAUGUUCUUCCGUCCUUGUAGGAAAAUUACGAAGAAAUGAACAAGGCUCAGGAAGGCCCCGGGCCUUGCUGGAAAAUUUCCUUCUCACGUGUGGAAGGCGGGAGGAAAACUUUUUUUUUGAAAUUAAUCCAGGGCUAAAUAGUAGGGACAGCUCCUUUCAACUCCUGACUCUGAGGAACACAGGUGACCUCUGCCCACUUCAUCCCUUUCGCCCUCCCUCCCCACAGCCCCCCCCCCCUUUACCCGGCUACAAUGCUUUGCUGUAAAUUUUGCUAAAACAAGGCAAGCUCUAGCCUGAUCCCAGGAGGGCCUUCGUUAUUUUUUGCACUGGAUACUGAGAACGGUUUGGGGGACUGUGCAGUCCUUCAACCAAGGUCCUGCCCAGGUUUCAAGUGGGAGGAAGGUGAAGGAGGGGAAAAGAGAGAGACGGAAGGAGAGCGGGAGAGGGAGAGAGGGGGGAAGGGGGGAGAGAGAAGCACCAACCGAUGUGAAACAGCAGGUGACAAAUCCACUGAAGUCAGCAGCAUCAAAUUCAGUUUCUUAUUUUUAAUUCCAUUAGUACAAUCAAUUUCUAGAGGCCUGAAAAUAAACCUCAAAUCCAAAACACAACACAGCUCUCACAGAAAAAUAGAGAGGAAAGGGGGAAAAUCUCUUAAGAACAAUCUCCCAGAUUUAAUGAGAGAGUCGCCCACACCCUCAUCACCCAGCAUGGUAAUUGAGCAGAUCUAUUAACUUGUUACACUAGAUUUGUUUAAAGAGACUAUUACACAGUCAUUUAAUCAAUUUGUUACACUGGAGGUCCUGACUUAUGAGACACUUGCCUUAUGAUUCCUUAAUGACUGAAUUAAUUUGUUUUAAUAAAACCAACAUUGUGUACAAGUACAUUUCUGGAAAUGUAAUUUUGGAGACAGAACAGUCCAAUGCUUCAUCUGAUUAGGUCCUUCUAUGGUUUAUCAAAGUCUGUAGUUUCUGACAUAGCCGCUUGUAUGGAGUAUUUUUCUUUUUUAUAGCGCCAUUAAUUUAAUAUGGAUCAUUAGUUCUUUAUACACAUGCAUGUUCUGACAAAUGUACCCAAUGAAUAAUGCAGCUAAUGUGCUUAGGCCCAAAUGCAUCACAUCAUAAACAGAGACCUCUGCAAAAAUAACAACAAUGAAAUAAAACGCCCCCCUCCACUCACUGCGGUGAUCAUCAAGAUAGCAUUUCAUGUUACACUUCAGUCCUGUUUUGCAGAGGAAGAUAUGUUUGGCCCCAGGAUUAUAUCAACAUCACCAACUGGGUCUAACCAUGUAGGGAACACAAAUAGAUUUAUGGUGAAUUAAGAUUGUCUUGAGAGCAGAUGCAGGACGAGAAAAUCGGUUUUGCUCUUGAUGGAAACUGACGUGUGCAGAAUAAAAUGUAAAUAAACAGAAAGUCCCCAAGAAAAGGGACUUGAUGUUAUUGAUUAUGUAAAAUAAUGAGGACAUUACAAAUGAUAAUGCACUACAAAUAGUUGGCAUUUAUGGUUGGAUUUUUUUUACAAGAAGAAACAAUUUAGGCUAUGAAACACCACUUGAAAAAUGGGGCAUGAUCUGAAGGGCAAUAAAAAAAAAUAACGGGGGAUGGACUGAUCAAUUUGUAACUGAUAACGGAUAUAAAUGAUAACUGAAUGGGUCUGCUGCAGAGGGAGACAUUUGAGCUUAGAGGAGUGUAAGGUGAGUGAUGGUCCUACAAGAUCACGCGAGGCAUCAAGUGCCUCUGUAUUAAGUGUAGCUAUGCACAGAAGCCCAAUAUUGACUAACUAGCCUGUUAUUAUUACAGGGAAGAGGGAG